CACUUGAAAAAUAUUAUGCCACUUUCUUCUGGGCUCCAUGGCUUCAGAUGAGAAAUCUGAUGUUAACUGAAUGGUAUUCUUUCAUAGGUUGAGGGGAUAAUAUACAUCCUCAAGUAAACUGAUUCUAUCCACUCCCUAGCAAUGAGCCUAUCCAAGAGAUGGGCUUUCACCAUGUUGGCCAGGUUGGUCUCAAACUCCUACCUCAAUUGAUCUGCUCACCUUGGCCUCCCAAAGUGCUGGGAUUACAGAUGUAAGCCACCGAACCUGGCCACGACAGGCAAUUUUCUAUUGUAUCUUGGAUAUCUUGGUUUUU